GGGUGGUGUUGAAAAGCAGCUGCCAUUUGUGGAGGACCUACCACGGGUCAGCCACUUUAUAGAUGUUCUUUAACUGGAUUCUAACAAAAAACCUUUCAGGGUGGAAAUGAUCACUCUCAUUUUUCAAAUAAGAAGGCUGAGAGAAAAAUCAAGUCAAUCGCCCAAAUCCACCCAGCUGGGUCUCACUCUGUCACCCAGGCUGGAGUGCCGUGGCACGAUCACGACAGUCACAGCUCAUGGCAGCCUUGACCUCCGUGGGCUUGAGCGAUACUGCCACCUCAGCAUCUGUGCAGCUGGGACUACAAGUGCAUUUCACUCAGUGAUAGUCUGAGGAGUGCUCUCCAAUGCAGCUGGCUUGCGUGCGACUUCACGCUGAUGACAGCAAGUAACAUCAUGUCCCAGAGGAUGGAGCACCACAGUAUAUUCAACUAC